UUACAGUUUUCCUUUAGGUGUGCAGCAUGCAGACAGACUGAGACGAUGGCUGGUGAACAUAACACGACAAGACUGGGAGCCCAGCAAGUCAUCUCAUCUCUGUAGUCUUCAUUUUGAAGACCAUGAAUUCACCAUUGAUACCUAUGGGAAUCGUCUGACUUGCACUGCAGUACCAACUGUGUUCUCCCUUCCUGACCACCUGGUGAAGAGACCUGCUAGUAGAAAGGCAAGUGGUUAUUUUCUUAUCCUUUCUUUGUCAAGUGCUGCAAAUGAGAAGGAAUGUGAAAUGGUGGCUGCUAAUACAUCAGAUCAAAAUGUGGCUUGUCAGUAGUGAGCAGUUACAUUUUUGUCACCCAAGACAUUAAAAUGAAAGAAUGAUGUCACGGUUGAGAUUGUGGAGAAAUAUCAAAAGAGGAUGAGAAAGUAAGACGUGUAAAGUAAGUUUCAUGGCAUAACACAAACUUAGAACUUUUUUUAUGUGUUGUCUGUAAUGCUAUACAACUGUAAUACCUCCUGGAAGUUUUGAUUUUAUAUAUGUUUUUUCACAUGGCGGUGGUGGUGCAUGAAGGGGGUAUUUUGUCUUCCGCCUCCCUCCUGCACCACCACCACCAUCGCCAGAGCUGAAGGUCUACAAUACCAUCGCCAGAGCUGAAGGUCUACAACGCUGCUGCCACCAGAGCUGAAAUCUCUCUAAGUUAAUGACUAACCCCCCCUCACCCCUUGGCAAACACAAUAAAACAUGGUCAUUUGUGGAUA